GAUGAACGCUGGCGGCGUGCCUAAUACAUGCGAGUCGAGCGAACAGACGAGGAGCUUGCUCCUCUGACGUUAGCGGCGGACGGGUGAGUAACACGUGGAUAACCUACCUAUAAGACUGGGAUAACUUCGGGAAACCGGAGCUAAUACCGGAUAAUAUAUUGAACCGCAUGGUUCAAUAGUGAAGGACGGUUUUGCUGUCACUUAUAGAUGGAUCCGCGCCGCAUUAGCUAGUUGGUAAGGUAACGGCUUACCAAGGCGACGAUGCGUAGCCGACCUGAGAGGGUGAUCGGCCACACUGGAACUGAGACACGGUCCAGACUCCUACGGGAGGCAGCAGUAGGGAAUCUUCCGCAAUGGGCGAAAGCCUGACGGAGCAACGCCGCGUGAGUGAUGAAGGUCUUCGGAUCGUAAAACUCUGUUAUUAGGGAAGAACAAAUGUGUAAGUAACUAUGCACGUCUUGACGGUACCUAAUCAGAAAGCCACGGCUAACUACGUG
rnacentral:rRNA from 1 species